GGCUGCGCUUUCUCUUCUUCAUCUCCUUCGCACGAUUUUCUCUUUAGGGUUUUCUUUCUUCUUUCUUCUUUCUUCAUCCGAUACACGAGCGAGAGGCUUCGAUUCGUGCGAAGAUCUCGCGCGCUCAUCCUCUCACACGAAGUCGCUCGCUCUCACGCUCGGCCGUUUGGUCGCUCAGAUAUGUGAAUUCGUCUGAAGAGCAAGCAAGCGGUCGCUCAAAGACAUCAAUUCGUUUGAAGAGCAAGCAAGCAAAAUCUUGCGCGCGCUCGAGUGAUGAUCAAUUCAGACAUCAAUUCGUUUGAAGAGUGAGCACUCGCUCGCUUAUCCUCUCACAUGGAGACGCUCACUCUCGGACGUACUCGCUCUCAGUCGCUUGAAGGAUGCUCGUUUAAGGUCGAAGCGGACAGUGUGUUUAAGGCAUUGAACAGAAGAACGAUGCUCCAUCCGAGUGUUUGGAGGAAGUGUUAAAUUUAAGUCUUCCCUCCAGUGAUGAAAAAUAAUUCAGCAGCUUCAGUUCCGUAGAUAGGGCCAUUAGAUCAAUUAACAAUUGGCAAGCUGUUCACAAUGUCAGAAGCUAAGUUGGAAGCAGAAGACCACAUUGCCUUCAAGCGAGAUAUUGAAAGAGUGUGCAUCUUGCAGUUGAACAGAGAUGUGAAGCCUAUUUGUGAUAGACUUAAUGCAUUCAUUUGAAAGAGAGGAUGUGUUAGAUUAAACUCAGCUGCUGGAGUUUCCAUCUGAUAAUGUUUAUGUCGGGAAGAACCAGUAUCUCCAGUUGCUAAUGAUGCACCAAAGUGAACAUAAUGGUUGUUAUUGGGUUGCUGAUUGGGAAGAGCUGUUGCUAACAUCAGAUCAAGGCCUCAUAUUAA